AGGGGCGUAGCUCAAUUGGCAGAGCACUGGUUUCCAAAACCAGGGGUUGUGAGUUCGAGUCCCACCGCCCCUG
rnacentral:tRNA from 1 species